rnacentral:lncRNA from 1 species
CAAGGGCCCACGCUUACGUCUGCUCACCCCGGGCACCGAUCGGCCUCUCCGCAGAGAGGGCUUCCCUGUGUUCUGGGGUCGUGCAAGGGUCCUACGGGGCUGGCCGGACACUCACAUCCUCCCAGGGUUCCCUUCUCCAUCUGCAGUGUGUCUCGCCCUCCGCUCUCCCCUCCCAUCUAAUGGCAUGGCUACGUCCUGAGCUCUCCUGCCGGCCCCCUGACCUUGGGGAGGCAGGCCUGGGGCUGUCCUCCACCCUGUGCGCGAGCACCUUGUACCUGAGGAGGAGCCAGUUCUGAGGCUGUGCUGGGACAGAAGAGACCUUUCAGUGAUGGGAGCUUGAUGGAAGGGAGUGGCAACGAGCAGUUGAAACAGAAGCCCAUUUUAUCUGGAUAGAAACCAGAAAAGGAGACCAGGAGUUAAUCCUGGCAUGUUACAUGCAACGAAGCCUCAGACAUUUAGCCAGUCAGCAAACUUCAAGUCUUUCCAUGCGCACACUGUCAUACAGCACUAGACAGGAGAGGACAGGACCCAGAAGAAUGGGAAGAAGGACCUUGCAGGAAAGGAAGAGGCACAGAGAGACAGGGUGGCCCAGCCGGCGAAGUGGAGCGUUGUCCUGUCUCACCCGGCAGGAGUGAGGGGAUGGAUGUGAGUGCGAAAGGCAGCUCCCUGUGGACUGCUGCCCGGCUGAGAGCAGGGUGAAGACGGGAGGUUGGAGGAGCCCAGAGAAGGACUGGACACCAGGAACACGGAGCACAGCAG